GCUGUCUGUGAUGUUAUCAAUCUUACCUACCUUGUUUGAAGAGCAUUUUGAAAAAGAAAUCUGGUCUGAGACUUGC
ensembl:snoRNA SNORD34 Small nucleolar RNA SNORD34